rnacentral:lncRNA from 1 species
GCUAUGGUGCACCAAACAACAAACAGUUCGUGUCAAAAUUUGCGCAAGGACGAGAGGAAGAAGAAGAGCAUGGUCAUUUGGACCGAGGCUCACCAUGGAGUCGACGGCGAGCGAAGAAAACUGGCGGCCGAGGCAAACUCCGGCGAGAAAUUGCUCGACGUGGACGCGGGUGGAGUGAGGGGGGUGCGGGGGAAAAGAGAGAGGAGGAGGGGCUCUUUAUAGUGACACGAGAGGGGUGGUGUAAUGUCGCGCCCUAAAUCCCGAAUUGAAGACGAAAGUAAAGGCUGCGCUCGCUAGAUUCGCGGCCGGAGGAAGAAGAAGACUGACAGGGGGGGGCCCACCCGUCAGCGGCCGUGGGCUGCGGGCGACGGCGGGCGGGGCUCGCCGGGCCGGCUCGCGGGUGCGCGCGCGGGAUUGAGAUUUGGCCGGGCCGGUCCGUUUCCCUUUUUUUUUGUUCUUUUCUUUUCUCCUUUUCUUUUUCUGUUUUUCCUUUAUAAGUUUUGAUUUUGAACUCCAAAUGGACUCAAAUAAAUUCCAGAAAAUUUGUAAAAUCAUAGCCUUUAAUGCCAUAGCAUCUGGCUUGAUUUCUUCCAAAAGUAAAUUAUUAAAAAUAGUUUUGCUUAUAUAAUUGCCUCUAGUGCAAUAAUAUUUAAAAAGAAAAUAGUUUUUUUCAACUCCAAAAUAAAUUCCAAAAAUUAUGGGGUAGC